rnacentral:rRNA from 1 species
AGUGAACGCUGGCGGUAGGCCUAACACAUGCAAGUCGAACGGCAGCACAGUAAGAGCUUGCUCUUACGGGUGGCGAGUGGCGGACGGGUGAGGAAUACAUCGGAAUCUACUUUUUCGUGGGGGAUAACGUAGGGAAACUUACGCUAAUACCGCAUACGACCUACGGGUGAAAGCAGGGGAUCUUCGGACCUUGCGCGAUUGAAUGAGCCGAUGUCGGACUAGCUAGUUGGCGGGGUAAAGGCCCACCAAGGCGACGAUCCGUAGCUGGUCUGAGAGGAUGAUCAGCCACACUGGAACUGAGACACGCACCAGACUCCUACGAGAGGGAGCAGUGGGGAAUAUUGGACAAUGGGCGCAAGCCUGAUCCAGCCAUACCGCGUGUGUGAAGAAGGCCUUCGGGUUGUAAAGCCCUUUUGUUGGGAAAGAAAAGCAGCAGGUUAAUACCCCGCUGUUCUGACGGUACCCAAAGAAUAAGCACCGGCUAACUUCGUG